AUUUAACGCUGUCUGCAUUCCUAACACAUGCAAGUCGAGCGAUCGGCGGACGGGUUAUUAAUGUCUUUUAAUCUGCCUGAUGGAGGGGGAUAACUACUGGAAACGGUAGCUAAUACCGCAUACCAUCAGAUGUGCCCAGAUGGGAUUAGCUAGUGGGUGGGGUAAUGGCUCACCUAGGCGCCGAUCCCUAGCUGGUCUGAGAGGAUGAACAGCCACACUGGAACUGGGACACGGUCCAGCCGCCUACGGGAGGCAGCAGGGGGGAAUAGUGCACAAGGGGCGCAAGCCUGAUGCAGCCAUGCCGCGUGUAUGAAGAAGGCCUUCGGGUUGUAAAGUACUUUCAGCGAGGAGGCGUUACUCGCAGAAGAAGCACCGGCUAACUCCGUGCCAGCAGCCGCGGUAAUUC
rnacentral:rRNA from 1 species